UACAGAGACUGCAAGCGUUAUUCGGAAUUACUGGGCGUAAAGCGUGCGCAGGCGGCUUUGCAAGACAGAUGUGAAAUCCCCGGGCUUAACCUGGGAACUGCAUUUGUGACUGCAUGGCUGGAGUGCGGCAGAGGGGGAUGGAAUUCCGCGUGUAGCAGUGAAAUGCGUAGAUAUGCGGAGGAACACCGAUGGCGAAGGCAAUCCCCUGGGCCUGCACUGACGCUCAUGCACGAAAGCGUGGGGAGCAAACAGG
rnacentral:rRNA from 1 species